rnacentral:rRNA from 1 species
AGACCCGAAACCCGGUGAUCUAGCCAUGGGCAGGUUGAAGGUUGGGUAACACUAACUGGAGGACCGAACCGACUAAUGUUGAAAAAUUAGCGGAUGACCUGUGGCUGGGGGUGAAAGGCCAAUCAAACCGGGAGAUAGCUGGUUCUCCCCGAAAGCUAUUUAGGUAGCGCCUCGUGAACUCAUCUCCGGGGGUAGAGCACUGUUUCGGCUAGGGGGCCAUCCCGGCUUACCAACCCGAUGCAAACUGCGAAUACCGGAGAAUGUUAUCACGGGAGACACACGGCGGGUGCUAACGUCCGUCGUGAAGAGGGAAACAACCCAGACCGCCAGCUAAGGUCCCAAAGUCAUGGUUAAGUGGGAAACGAUGUGGGAAGGCCCAGACAGCCAGGAUGUUGGCUUAGAAGCAGCCAUCAUUUAAAGAAAGCGUAAUAGCUCACUGGUCGAGUCGGCCUGCGCGGAAGAUGUAACGGGGCUAAACCAUGCACCGAAG